rnacentral:lncRNA from 1 species
AUAGCACUCUUUGCACUCUAGUAUACUUGCUUGCCAUGUGGGAUCACACUAGUUUUGUGUUGGACAUAUUUGAGCAUGAUAGAAUCUGUGUACUACACAUUGCCAUCAUAUUGCUUAUAGCAUAGUAGUUUAUUUUAGCAUUCAAUACAUGCUUUCAUAUCUGCAGUUUAAUUCCAGUUGUUUAUCAUAUCUACCGUACUCUUUGGGCCUAGUG